GGACUGUAGCUCAAUGGCAGAGCACUUGCCUAGCAUGUAUGAGGCACUGGGUUCAAUCCGCAUCACCA
rnacentral:tRNA from 1 species